CGCCUUGCCAGCCCGCUCAGAACUUAAAGGAAUUGACGGGGGCCGCACAAGCGGAGGAGCAUGUGGUUUAAUUCGAUGAUACGCGAGGAACCUUACCUGGGCUCGAACGUAAGAUGACUGUAGGUGAAAGCUUACAUCUCUUCGGAGCAUUUUACGAGGUGCUGCAUGGUUGUCGUCAGCUCGUGCCGUGAGGUGUCGGGUUAAGUCCCAUAACGAGCGCAACCCCUACCUUUAGUUGCCAUCAGGUUAAGCUGGGGACUCUAAAGGAACUGCCUACGCAAGUAGUGAGGAAGGCGGGGAUGACGUCAAAUCAGCACGGCCCUUACGUCCAGGGCUACACACGUGCUACAAUGGCCGAUACAGAGGGCAGCUACCUGGUGACAGGAUGCAAAUCUCCAAAGUCGGUCUCAGUUCGGAUCGGAGUCUGCAACCCGACUCCGUGAAGUUGGAUUCGCUAGUAAUCGCGCAUCAGCCAUGGCGCGGUGAAUACGUUCCCGGGCCUU
rnacentral:rRNA from 1 species